rnacentral:rRNA from 1 species
GACGAACCGUGCGAACGUUGUUCGGAUUCACUGGGCUUAAAGGGCGCGUAGGCGGGCGACCAAGUCAGGGGUGAAAUCUUUCGGCCCAACCGGAAAAGUGCCCCUGAUACUGGCCGCCUCGAGGGGGGUAGGGGCAUGCGGAACUUCCGGUGGAGCGGUGAAAUGCGUAGAUAUCGGAAGGAACGCCGGUGGCGAAAGCGGGUCUCUGGGCAGUAACUGACGCUGAGGAGCGAAAGCGUGGGGAGCGAACAGG